CUUACUACUUGAAUCUUCCGCCUGUCUUGAAAGCCCCCCAGAGACCAGUACUGGCAUUUCAGAAGGGAGACAGAUGGAAAUAGUCGUUGCUGUGCAAGGAUACCCACAGUCAGAAGGACAAAGUGUUCCUGAGCACAGAUACCGAAUCCUGGUCCUCGAUGUGCCCGAUAGACCUGCCCUCUUCCCAGUUGUUCCUUAAAUGCCCUCAAUGCUGCAGAGGCAGGAAGAAAGUAGGAGAAGGAGACAUGCAGCAGCAGGAUGAAGAAAAGUCCUGAGAUCCACUGGAAGGCACCAGUGUCCCCAGAGGAGAGGAUUAAACAACAUGAGGGUGCUUGUCCUGCCCAUGUGCCCCAACCUUGCCCUGUACCAACUCUUCUAUCAAGUAUAUGAGGACAGCCAACCAUUGCUGCAUGAAGAGAAUUCAUUCAACGUAUUACUUCCCAUAUCUUCUUUCUCCUGCUGAGAAGCAUAUAAACCCUUCAUUUCCUGCCUGCCUAGGUACGUUAUGUGCAUGUGCCUUCACACUCAGAAUUCAGACUUCGGCGUAUUUCUAACCCACGCAAUAUGUUUCAAGUUGGAGUUUCUGACGGCUUGUCAUUCUGUUGGAAAAGAAUUAGACCUCAGGUUACCUUUUGUAAUCUUUUCUUUGCUACUUCCUUAAAUAAGGGCCAUUACCAAAAUCCUCCCGAUACAUGUUAACUCUGUUUCCUGUCUCAGAUAGAGAUGCCAUCUGAUGAUAUUUAGAAUCAUACUUGGCAUCAGUGGCUCUUUGAACUAGGACCCUUGAAAUUGUGUCACAACUUGCAGGAUCAGUGUGUAUUUGCACAUUUGAUUCCUACUUUAGAGAUGUAAUGAGUUUAAAUAAAGGUGAGACCUCUG